rnacentral:tRNA from 1 species
GCUUGGGUAGCUCAGUCAGUUAAGUGUCUGACUUCAGCUCAGGUCGUGAUCUCACAGUUUGUGGGUUUGAGCCCCACGUCAGGCU